rnacentral:rRNA from 1 species
CGACCCCUAAGGCGAGGCCGAAAGGCGUAGUCGAUGGGAAACAGGUUAAUAUUCCUGUACUUGGUGUUACUGCGAAGGGGGGACGGAGAAGGCUAUGUUGGCCGGGCGACGGUUGUCCCGGUUUAAGCGUGUAGGCUGGUUUUCCAGGCAAAUCCGGAAAAUCAAGGCUGAGGCGUGAUGACGAGGCACUACGGUGCUGAAGCAACAAAUGCCCUGCUUCCAGGAAAAGCCUCUAAGCAUCAGGUAACAUCAAAUCGUACCCCAAACCGACACAGGUGGUCAGGUAGAGAAUACCAAGGCGCUUGAGAGAACUCGGGUGAAGGAACUAGGCAAAAUGGUGCCGUAACUUCGGGAGAAGGCACGCUGAUAUGUAGGUGAAGUCCCUCGCGGAUGGAGCUGAAAUCAGUCGAAGAUACCAGCUGGCUGCAACUGUUUAUUAAAAACACAGCACUGUGCAAACACGAAAGUGGACGUAUACGGUGUGACGCCUGCCCGGUGCCGGAAGGUUAAUUGAUGGGGUCAGCGCAAGCGAAGCUCUUGAUCGAAGCCCCGGUAAACGGCGGCCGUAACUAUAACGGUCCUAAGGUAGCGAAAUUCCUUGUCGGGUAAGUUCCGACCUGCACGAAUGGCGUAAUGAUGGCCAGGCUGUCUCCACCCGAGACUCAGUGAAAUUGAACUCGCUGUGAAGAUGCAGUGUACCCGCGGCAAGACGGAAAGACCCCGUGAACCUUUACUAUAGCUUGACACUGAACAUUGAGCCUUGAUGUGUAGGAUAGGUGGGAGGCUUUGAAGUGUGGACGCCAGUCUGCAUGGAGCCGACCUUGAAAUACCACCCUUUAAUGUUUGAUGUUCUAACGUGGACCCGUGAUCCGGGUUGCGGACAGUGUCUGGUGGGUAGUUUGACUGGGGCGGUCUCCUCCUAAAGAGUAACGGAGGAGCACGAAGGUUGGCUAAUCCUGGUCGGACAUCAGGAGGUUAGUGCAAUGGCAUAAGCCAGCUUGACUGCGAGCGUGACGGCGCGAGCAGGUGCGAAAGCAGGUCAUAGUGAUCCGGUGGUUCUGAAUGGAAGGGCCAUCGCUCAACGGAUAAAAGGUACUCCGGGGAUAACAGGCUGAUACCGCCCAAGAGUUCAUAUCGACGGCGGUGUUUGGCACCUCGAUGUCGGCUCAUCACAUCCUGGGGCUGAAGUAGGUCCCAAGGGUAUGGCUGUUCGCCAUUUAAAGUGGUACGCGAGCUGGGUUUAGAACGUCGUGAGACAGUUCGGUCCCUAUCUGCCGUGGGCGCUGGAGAACUGAGGGGGGCUGCUCCUAGUACGAGAGGACCGGAGUGGACGCAUCACUGGUGUUCGGGUUGUCAUGCCAAUGGCACUGCCCGGUAGCUAAAUGCGGAAGAGAUAAGUGCUGAAAGCAUCUAAGCACGAAACUUGCCCCGAGAUGAGUUCUCCCUGACCCUUUAAGGGUCCUGAAGGAACGUUGAAGACGACGACGUUGAUAGGCCGGGUGUGUAAGCGCAGCGAUGCGUUGAGCUAACCGGUACUAAUGAACCGUGAGGCUUAACCUUACAACGCCGAAGGUGUUU